UAUCUCUCCGUACGGGGAAGGAUGAGAAGCUUCGACUAAGGUUCGAUUCGAGCGAAAGCGAGAGAACGUUGCCGCAGGCAACGACCCGAAGGGCGAAGCGCGCAGCGCUGAGUCAUCCUUCCCCCACCACCA
rnacentral:sRNA from 1 species